rnacentral:tRNA from 1 species
GGUGGUGUAAGUUUUCAAUUACAAUGAAAAUACCCUAAUUAGGCACCUCUAUACAGAAAGGGUUAGAACAA